GACGUAGGGCGCGAGCGUUGUCCGGAUUUAUUGGGCGUAAAGAGCUCGUAGGCGGCUUGUUGCGUCGGCUGUGAAAACCCGCGGCUUAACUGUGGGCUUGCAGCUGAUACGGGCAGGCUAGAGUUCGGUAGGGGAGACUGGAAUUCCUGGUGUAGCGGUGAAAUGCGCAGAUAUCAGGAGGAACACCGAUGGCGAAGGCAGGUCUCUGGGCAUUAACUGACGCUGGAGGAGCGAAAGCAUGGGGAGCGAACAGG
rnacentral:rRNA from 1 species